rnacentral:lncRNA from 1 species
CUCUCGUUAGUCUGGCUAAGGGUUUAUCUAUCUUGUUGAUUUUCUCAAAGAACCAACUUUUGGUUCUGUUGAUUCUUUCUAUGGUCCUUUUUGUUUCUACUUGGUUGAUUUCAGCUCUGAGUUUGAUUAUUUCCUGCCUUCUACUCCUCCUGGGUGUAUUUGCUUCUUUUUGUUCUAGAGCUUUUAGGUGUGCUGUCAAGCUGCUGACAUAUGCUCUUUCCUGUUUCUUUCUGCAGGCACUCAGCGCUGUGAGUUUUCCUCUUAGCACAGCUUUCAUUGUGUCCCAUAAGUUUGGGUAUGUUGUACCUUCAUUUUCAUUAAAUUCUAAAAAGUUUUUAAUUUCUUUCUUUAUUUCUUCCUUGACCAGGUUAUCAUUGAGUAGAGCAUUGUUCAAUUUCCACGUAUAUGUGGGCAUUCUUCCCUUAUUGUUAUUGAAGACCAGUUUUAGGCCGUGGUGGUCCGAUAGCACGCAUGGGAUUAUUUCUAACUUUCUGUACCUGUUGAGGCCCGUUUUUUGAUCAAUUAUAUGGUCAAUUUUGGAGAACGUACCAUGAGGAGCUGAGAAGAAGGUAUAUCCUUUUGCUUUAGGAUAGAAUGUUCUAUAAUUAUCCGUUAAGUCCAUUUGGCUCAUGACUUCUCUUAGUCUGUCUACAUCUCUGUUUAAUUUCUGUUUCCAUGAUCUGUCCAUUGAUGA